rnacentral:rRNA from 1 species
UACAGAGGGUGCAAGCGUUAAUCGGAAUUACUGGGCGUAAAGCGCACGUAGGUGGAUAUUUAAGUCAGAUGUGAAAACCCCGGGCUCAACCUGGGAAUGGCAUUUGAUACUGGGUAUCUAGAGUAUGAUAGAGGGUAGAGGAAUUUCUGGUGUAGCGGUGAAAUGCGUAGAUAUCAGAAGGAACAUCAGUGGCGAAGGCGUCUACCUGGAUUAAUACUGACACUGAGGAGCGAAAGCAUGGGUAGCAAACAGGAUUAGAUACCCUGGUAGUCCAUGCUGUAAACGAUGAGUACUAGCUGUUGGUCUAACUUCGGUUGGAUAAGUGGCGAAGCAAACGCGAUAAGUACUCCGCCUGGGGAAUACGGCCGCAAGGUUA